GCUGCUCACAUUGGUCAGUGCCUCUGAGAAGGAUGAGCCCAUCAGAGGAGCCGAGCACUGCUGUACAUCACUGGCACGGGGAGGGGGAAUGACCUUGAGCUCUUGGCCAAUGAAUUUUUAGGAAGAUGAACUGAAUAACAUUUCCAUAAAUCAGAAAGCAUUAAAUGGUACCAAUGGAAGGGAACUUGUUUCAACUGGACAGAAAUUCUUCUUCUCUGUUGUGUUUUUAUGCAUUGGGGCCAUCUACAGAUGAAGUUAUAAGGCAGUUUUCAUGCAUGAGGACUCAGUGA
rnacentral:lncRNA from 1 species